AGCGAGUUUUAUGGAGGUGGGGAUAAAUGGGAGACCGGCGACGACGCACGGGUGUACAUCAAACUGCGUCGUAUGCUCUGGCUAAUUUUCGAGAUUCUGAUGUACUCGGGUUUCCUCUCGGUCGAGGAAUUCAGCGGAUUAUCGGGGGAUUAAAUAAAAAAAAAUUUUUAGGUGAAAAAUGGUGGACUGGAAUUUUUUGGGGGAUUUUUUUGGGGAGCCGCGGGUGGGGGGGGGGGGAGCGGGUCAAGUUGCGGUGGAGCAUCGCCGCGGAAUUAUUGAAUCAAGUGGCUGAUUUUCCGUGUAAUUCAAUCAGAAAUGGUCCGCCAUUUUGGGUCGACAGGGGCAACUGCGUAAUUCAGAGCUGCCCCUGGCACUUGGGGAUUCUUGGAGACGAUGUUCGAGGUGACAAAUUUCGCCUGGUCCUUGCGACCACCCUGAGGGAGGAUGGAUAUCCAGACGGUGGGGAUUGGACGGCAAUUGAGCAAGAGGGUGGCUCACGUGCUGACAGCUUUGAAUAUGUCAUGUCUGGAAAGGUGUAUCGCAUCGAGGGUGACGAGGCCAGCAACGAACCGAGCACAAGACUGGCGUCACCGCAAUGAUGAUGAGGCUGGAAUUGAGAGGCUGAUGAUGGAGUGAUGGAUAUCGGGGACCGCAGCAACGAGUGUUUGUGGUGGAGUCAUAAAAGGGGAGACCGGAGAUCCUUGAGAAGAGUUUAUGGAAUUAUUUCGUCGAUGGGGGAGAAAAAGGAUGAUAAGAGCUUUCAGGAUUUUUCUGGAGACUGGAAUAUGGAAUUAUUGCUCUGAAGAUGUCGAUUUUACGGCGACAAGUCAUCGAUUAUUUGAUGGAAAUGGAUUUUCGAUGGGUUACAGUCGAUUGUCGGUCAGACGUCGGUAAUGAGAGACGUCAGACUGUUGGGAAUUAUUGGACAUUCAAGAAACAGUGGAACAAAGUAGACAAUUUGUUUUUACGUCGGUGGAAGACAUGAAAAUACUCCGAAUAAUAUUCCACGUUCAGAAAACAAUAUUUGGGAGACAAAUUAAUUUUUUCCAAAUAACAGCUGAUUCAUUGAAUUAAUUUCUUUAUUCAUCAAACUUAAUUUUCAAACUCACUUCCUCCUAAAGACAUUAAAAUAGAUGAUUUCCAGAAUUUUCGUAAUUUUUGAAAUUAUAUCCAUAAUUAACCUGUUGUUAAAACGAUGAGAUGUAUGCGAAGGACAAUUUUUUUUAUAAAUUGUAAAUAUUUGAAUUUGUUAGUCAACAAUUUUACUUUAAUUUUUCAACAGUGCAGUGUCAUCGAGUGAAGUAACUGGAAUAGCCCAUUGAAUGAUAUUUUCAUAAUUUAUGCACAAUAUACUACUGUUUUCAUGAAUUAUUUCAUAUCAUGUUUCGUAUCAAUGACUGUAAUCAUUUUAUUAUUAAACGCUCUUCAACCGCUCAUCUAAUCACUCAUUUUUAUUCAUCUCCAUUCCAUUGGGGCUCGUUUCACGUCACUAUGCGAGGUAACUCCGAGGCUUUGGAAAUUACUGGGUUCAGUUGAUGGCUUCCAUGGAAAUGAAGCAGAUGAAUUUAUGGGAAAGCUCACGUCGCUGUGGAUUAUGCGAUAGAGGGGUGGGUGGGGUUUGGAGAAGUAGUAGUUGCCUGGUUUGGUCAGGCGUGACGGUGGAUUAUGGAGAAAUUCAACUGGUCAGGAAUUUACGCUUUAAAUGCGGAAUGAAAUUCUCCAUUAGUGUUCUAAUAACGUCUUUCGUUAUGUAAAAAUCCACCGCAAAAGACAAUAAUUCAGGGGAAUAAUAUUUUGGUUGAUUUCCGCUGGAAUUACUGUCUUUUUCUGGUUCUCCAUCAAUUUUCAUACGAUAAUUCAUACAAUAAUUCAUUUAAUAUUCAUUAAUUAUUGAAAUCCAUUGAAUUCUCAGUGUUAUCGACUUUCUUAGGUGGAAAAUUUAUAUCUGGAAUUCUCCAGAUGUUUUUAUUGAAUUUCCUAUGAAUUUUUGGAAAAUUCUAUUGAGAAAUUUCAUUGAAAUUCUAUUGAAAAAUAUAUUUCCUUACAGAUUAUUCUAUUUUCUUCAUUAACUUUCAUUUUUCCUACCAAAAAAUGGGCUCACGAUCCGGAAACCACUGAAACCAGAAAAGUCAAUAGAAUUUUCUCAAAAAAUCCAAUAGAAUUUUCAAUUCACUUCCUCCUUUUUUCUGCUGGACUUUCAGUCCCCAAAUUUUAAUCUCCCCCAGUGUUACAAUUAUUCCCAUCAACUACUCAGUCCAUUUUCCCUAAUAAUUUAAUUUACUACUUGAAAAAUUGAUCGUUAACCUGUCACCCUGAAUUUUAUUAUUCAAUUUUCAUCCCUCAUUUUCCACCGGAUUAAAAAUCUCCCCAGAAUACCAUAAAAAUCCUACAUUUCUCCUGCACCAACUGACGACGAAUUCGACCUUGCUCCCACCUUCUGAGCAUUCCUCUGGGCAUGACCCAGUUAUCUCACCGUAUCACAGCGCUCACCUGGAUGCACUCACUGGGAGCCCAGCGCCCUAUUCCCCCCCCGCUGAUGUUAAAACCCCCGAAGGGGAAAUCGAGGAUUCACAGCAACAUUGUACCCCCCCAUUGUCGACUCUGGGGAAAGGUCAGGCGUGCUGGAGGGGCUGAGGUAACUAGGAUAUCCGAAGACCUCUGGCUUCCUCAAAACUGGGUCAUCCUGUUGCCCGAAGUACACCCGAGUGUGUCCCGUCACCCUUUUCUCCUUUCGUCCUACCGUAACCCCCCACUACAUUUCCCAUCCUGUUGCCGUACUAUUCACUAGUGCCAUUAGUCCAACAUUCAGACGCGAUUGCAAUGACAAGCAUCAGGUGCAUCAGUGGAAGAAAAUUGGUUUUUAAUAUUUUUUUAAAAAUUCCUGGAGCCACUGAAAUGGUCGGGCGGCGGUGGGUGGUGGCUGGGGGGGUGGGAGGGGGGAUUGGGAAAUUUUAUCGAGAGCCGGAAUUUUUUCCGGAAAAUUUUGCUUGAAGGGUGAGUGUUGGAGCGCUUUCAUCUCUCAAGAAUCAUUGAAUGACAUUAUGGCUUUAAAAUUCUGAGUGCAUGGGACAGAGGGGUAAAUGAGUUUGCGCGAAAAGUGCCCCUGGGAGAGCGGUGGUAACCGAGUGCUUUUCAUUGACGUCACCGGGAAUAUCGUCAUGGCGGAGCUGUUGUUAUCCUUCAUUGAGAGAGGAAGGAAUAUGUCCUGGUUUUGAUAUCCUGGUGAUUACACUGACGCGCGGUAAUAAUUGAAUCUCACGUAUUUAAUAAUGUUUAUUGGGAUUAGAGAGAAUUUUGUUAUCGUGAGGAAAUUUACGAUAAAUCGCAGGUAAAAAUGUCCAUUGUCUUGAUAAUUCAAGGAACAAUUAUUGAGGAUUAUUUUUUCCUACAAAAUUUUGUUAUUAUUCUGAAUUUAUUUGUUUGGGGGAAAUGAUCGAUCGAGUGUUUAGUGAAUCGAUGCAUAAAUUAUUUUACUCGACCUGAAUUUAUUUUAGUUUAACGUCUAAAUGCGGAAAAUUUCGCCCUCGAACAGCCCUGACAUUGGCGGCUAUUCUGUUACGUGACGACGAGUCUGGGAGUUUCGGAAGUUUAAUUACCACUGUUGUUGAUGCUAUUUCGCUUCAAGUUCAUCGCAAAAAUAUUUAUUUUCGCUUCAGCUUCAUGUGGCGCUGCAUAUGUGUUAUUUUAUCGUAUUCAUUCAAUAAAAAUGGCACCUCCACACGAGCCGUGAAAUCGACCGCCCCUUUCAAUUUCCAAUAACUCAAAAACGGCUGAGUGAAAAUUUUCAAUUUUUUUUUCACUUUCAAGAUAUUUUUUCGCUCUUUGAAAUGACACCUGACCCGUCCCAAUCGCAUCGUUCGGUCAGGAGUUAUCGGCGGUUACACACGAACGAAUUUUCAUGAGCUGCAGAGGCUGGUCAAGGUCGCGGAAUAUUUUGCAUUUAUUUUGAAAAAUUGAGGGUCUUCCGGUUCCUCCGUAAGGUCCUCCCCUCUCGAAACCGACAUACGGCGGGAAAAAGUAUUUUUUUAAAUAUUUUCUACUUUCGUCUCAACUCCUCACGUUUUAAUUCAUUUUUUUACCGUUUUUUUUCAUUGAUUAUGGAGUUAUAAAUUGUUAAAACACGUCAUACAUUUACGUCACACAUUGUACAUGUACUCGAUGAUCGUGAAAACCACUCUGACACGUAUGCACAUGCAUAACUGUGAGAGCAGGCCACUAGGAAAUUGAUUACGCAAUUUGUCGAUAGUCGUACACUCAGGGCCGGCUGUGAUGGACAUUUUUUGACGAGCAACGGUUGCCCCCCUCGCCUCCCUCCCACCCCCCCCCUGCGACAAUUUGCAUUGAAAAAAUAAUUCUCGGUUUUGCCAAUGUUGGCAGCCCUGACGAUGAGGAAAUUUGUCUUGUCAGAGGUAUUCCUGAUCCAAAAGUUUAAAUUAAACUUCAACGAAAUUAAAUAACUCGGGAGAUCGCGAUUUGCUGAUCAUUUUUCAUCGUUUAAAAAUUGUUACUCCGUAAUUGGUGAUUCCACGAUUUGUUUGUGAACCUCCGGGGUAUCGAGGCUCAUUUUCGUUAUCGGGCGGUAAAAAUUACGAUCGUGACUGAUUUUUCUUGAUGAAUUGAUGUGGAGUAAUGGGAGUGGUAAAGUUUUUAUGUGAAAAUGUUUUGUGGGUUAAAUUUUGUUUAUUAAUUUCUCAUUUUAAUGAAGAUUUCCUGAUUGUUAAUUCAUCUUCCUAUUGAACCCGUCAAAAAUGUCGUGAUGUUCCCUACGAUCGCCCAAAAUCUUCAUUAAUUCCCCAUUUCCAAUAAUUAAUUCCCACGAAAAUUAUUCAAUAAAAUUAUCUUGAAUAAUUUACCGUGUUUUCAUUCCAUAUUAUCAUUAUAUUAUACAUAAUAUAAUGAUGUUAUUUGAAAAAAUCCUGGAAAAUCACUCCGAACACUCCGGGAGCCCCUCGAUCGUCGGAAAAAAAAUCUCCGAAAAAUUCAAGGCUCUUCAUUUCGAAGCCACAACCUAAAUUAAUUGACGUUCCCCGCGUGAAGUAGCUCAUGUGAGUCAUCCAACACGCGUGCAUGCUGGAUCAGCAAGUUUUCCGGGUCGUCCACGAAGUCGGCCGUUUGCAAGUGAAAAACAAGGACACAUUCUCGUACGCCUCUCGUCGGAACGUAAUCGUUAGUCGGGCCAAGCAUAGAUGGUUCUGUUACGCAAGCCCUCGUUAGGCCAUCCCCGAUGUAUUUUCGUCAUUGAAAAAACCCGGUGCAUCGUUCACCACAACAUCCACCAAUUACGGGACACCCGAACCCAAAAAAAAAAUCCCCUUUUCUUCAUAAUUUUCCUCUCACUUCCCGCCGCCCAUAUUUCCAUACCGAUCAGUCAAACGAUUGUGUCAUGUCCGACGAGGACACGUGCGGUAUGACAAGGACACGAGAAAAUCACCCGAUCAUCGUCGUGGCCCCUCGAGGAGGUCGUCACAUCCACCACGAAAAAUCCCAGAAAAUUUUCACGCCAGAAAAACACCGAAAGAAAUUUUGGAUUUAAAUUGGACCUCCAGAGGGCGCGAGCAUGAACGAAGUUUAUUAAACGCGAAAAUUAAUCUCUGGAGUCCAAAAUUUCUGCGAAAAAUUGGUUGAUUGUCAUUUCAUGCUGCGUUUCCCCCUCGUAAGUCCAAAUUUUUCCCCAAAAUUUCAUUCCAUCAAAAUCCCCAAAAGAUCCCAAGUCAGACGAAAAAUGAGUCCGAUUGCAUCUCCCUUGAUUUCCUUUUGGCACGCCAUCACAAUUUCGUCCUCGACACGUGGAUCCCACCUCCAAUUAUACACGAAUGCCAUUAUAUAUAGAAAAGUAAACCCCCCAGUACCUCAGUCGUUCUUAAUCCACUCGGCGACGAGUUCAUCCGACGUUAAAAUCGUCAAAAAUCUCCCCGCAAGGGAAAAAGAAUUAAAAUCAUCCGCCGGAUCACUCGAUUCCCCGCGAGAUCCCAAAAAACCAAAAAAAAAAAAUCCGCGAAAAGCGCUCCGUCAGUGCACCACGGCAGACCGUCGGUAUAUACUUGGCGUAGCUCUGGUCUCGUCGUAUAAACGUCGAUUGUGUAAUAAUCUCCUUGUUCUUCUUCUUCAACUCCGUCUCUCACACGAAUCGUCACAGUGUAACGAGCAUUGCGUCGCGUUCCUCUUCCCCACGAGUCCUCCAGUUUUUUUUUUCUUUUUUUCACUCCAACACAUAUAACGCGGGUUAGCACCCACCGACGGACUGGUGGGUACACUUCCCCGGGAGCGUAACAACUCUCGGUUUUAACUCAUUCCUAGCUAUUGCUAGACCAACUAGUACUCACCCAGCCGUCGUGUUGUUGGGACGUUCGCGGUCUCCUCAAAUUAAAACCGAACAUAAACUAGAAAAACAGAUGAUAAAGCGAACGUGCGAUUAAUUAACAAAAUGACUGAAUCGACGAUCAAUCGCCGGGGGAGCAAGUGAACGAGUGGUUAAACGAUGAUACGUUCCCGGGGCGCCGAGGAGGGGAGGGAAUUGAUUGAAAAAUAUUUGUUGAAUUGAAAAAAAAAAAGAAAAAAAAAUCGGUGAAUAUUUACUCGGUGGUAGAUAUUAAAUACGAGUUAAAAUCGGCCAUUUUACCAGCCACUGGCACGAGUUAAUCGAGGUUGUAGACUCAUUUGAGAGGGGAUAGUGCAUAUAAAUGACACGCGGGGUGAGGUGUUACCGACUGUUUAAGGAGGGGUAUUAGGAGGGAACACGAGAGAGACUGCAAUACGUUGUCUAUUAUUAGUGCAUCGAGGAUGUGUCUCGUUCUCUUUUUACCGAGCCCUGGGCGCAACUGAGUCGCGGUCAACGAUUAUUGGGUGGGAAUAGACGAGUAUUUAGUACAGGCCGAUAGUCCACGAGAUUUUAAUCCACCCGAGGGCUCAAUAAAAUACCCCAAAUCGUUAAAAUAAUUCGCGAUAUCGUCAGUCGUUAUUUAAAGGUUAAUAAUCGUUUCUCGAGGUGCGGUAAAAUUGUUCGCAAAUUAAUUCAACGAAAACAAAAUUAAAUAUCACCAGCAGUCAGCAACCGGCGAUCAGCUGACUACGCGUUUGUCGUCUCAAUGGAACAGCUGAUCGUGUUUCUUUGACAUUGAACAUAUCUGCGUACGUGUCCUUCGGUGGAUUGCUGAUGAGGCUGCAGGGAGAUGCCAACAAUCUUCAUGGCUUUGAAAUCGAUCAGCACAUGUACCUGUUAAUGAAGAAACUGGCCUUUUAGGGUCAUCUGGGCGGAGUUGGAUUUAUCAGUGAUUUUUGGGGGGAGGUGGGGUGAUUUGUGCUCGGGCUGGGGGAAUUGGAGAUGGGAGUUUAGAGGCUGGUGGGGUUUUCAGACAUUGCGAAUGCAUCGCUCAUAAUAAAAAAUGAGAAGGCGUUUUUCAAGGGCAAUUCGAUGUGCUGCGUUCAGAAAGAAUAAUGAAGAGGUGGUGAUCACAUCGAUUUGCCCUGGUUAUGAGUUUAUGGAUUAAAGUUUCAUGAAUCCUUGGAAUUCUGAUGGGAAUUGCCAGGGGGAUGGUACCUUGGUGACGUAUGUCACGGGGGGUUUGAGGUCUUCAAGUGAAUUCAUGUAUUUUUGAGGGAUUGUGGAAGUAAAUGAUGUUUUUAUAAAUAAAUUGUACAUUUGUUUAUUCCAUGAGUACCUUUGGAGAUGACUGGGAGAACUGAGAGAUGUGAAAAUCCAUUUUAUUUUUGUAAAUGGGUCUGAGGGAGAGGAAUAAUUUUUAUAAAUAUUUGUAAUCAAUUUAGCCCCUCGUCAUUGUGGUGGGGGUCAGUCGAUGGGAUUUGUCCAUCGAGAAUUGAUAAUGUACGAUAAAUAAUAAAGUUUCAAAUUUAUAUUUUGAUAAA